CAUUCCCGUAUUCCCGCAUUCCCCAUUCCCGUAUUCCCCCAUUCCCGUAUUCCCCCAUUCCCGUAUUCCCGCAUUCCCCCAUUCCCGUAUUCCCGUUCCCUAUUUUAAAGAUAGCCAUACGAGUAACAUACAAUUACAUACGAGUACAUACGAGUAACAUACGAGUACACACGAGUAACAUACGAGUACACACGAGUAACAUACGAGUAAAUACGAGUACAUACGAGUACAUACGAGUAAAAUACGAGUACAUACGAGUAAAAUACGAGAAUUAGCACAUUUUCUUUAAAGUUUCUUUCACUUUCACACUU